UACACAUGCAGUCGAACGGUAGCACAGAGGAGCUUGCUCCUUGGGUGACGAGUGGCGGACGGGUGAGUAAUGUCUGGGAAACUGCCCGAUGGAGGGGGAUAACUACUGGAAACGGUAGCUAAUACCGCAUAACGUCGCAAGACCAAAGAGGGGGACCUUCGGGCCUCUUGCCAUCGGAUGUGCCCAGAUGGGAUUAGCUAGUAGGUGGGGUAACGGCUCACCUAGGCGACGAUCCCUAGCUGGUCUGAGAGGAUGACCAGCCACACUGGAACUGAGACACGGUCCAGACUCCUACGGGAGGCAGCAGUGGGGAAUAUUGCACAAUGGGCGCAAGCCUGAUGCAGCCAUGCCGCGUGUAUGAAGAAGGCCUUCGGGUUGUAAAGUACUUUCAGCGAGGAGGAAGGGGAUGUGGUUAAUAACCGCAUUCAUUGACGUUACUCGCAGAAGAAGCACCGGCUAACUCCGUGCCAGCAGCCGCGGUAAUACGGAGGGUGCAAGCGUUAAUCGGAAUUACUGGGCGUAAAGCGCACGCAGGCGGUCUGUCAAGUCGGAUGUGAAAUCCCCGGGCUCAACCUGGGAACUGCAUCCGAAACUGGCAGGCUAGAGUCUUGUAGAGGGGGGUAGAAUUCCAGGUGUAGCGGUGAAAUGCGUAGAGAUCUGGAGGAAUACCGGUGGCGAAGGCGGCCCCCUGGACAAAGACUGACGCUCAGGUGCGAAAGCGUGGGGAGCAAACAGGAUUAGU
rnacentral:rRNA from 1 species